AUUGAACGCUGGCGGCAGGCCUAACACAUGCAAGUCGAACGGUAACAGGAAGACGCUUGCUUCUUUGCUGACGAGUGGCGGGCGGGUGAGUAAUGUCUGGGAAACUGCCUGAUGGAGGGGGAUAACUACUGGAAACGGUAGCUAAUACCGCAUAACGUCGCAAGACCAAAAAGGGGGACCUUCGGGCCUCUUGCCAUCGGAUGUGCCCAGAUGGGAUUAGCUAGUAGGUGGGGUAACGGCUCACCUAGGCGACGAUCCCUAGCUGGUCUGAGAGGAUGACCAGCCACACUGGAACUGAGACACGGUCCAGACUCCUACGGGAGGCAGCAGUGGGGAAUAUUGCACAAUGGGCGCAAGCCUGAUGCAGCCAUGCCGCGUGUAUGAAGAAGGCCUUCGGGUUGUAAAGUACUUUCAGCGGGGAGGAAGGGAGUAAAGUUAAUACCUUUGCUCAUUGACGUUACCCGCAGAAGAAGCACCGGCUAACUCCGUG
rnacentral:rRNA from 1 species